GCAGUGGUGAUUCAGUGGUAGAAUUCUCCACUGCCAAGUGGAGGAACCAGGUUUGAUUCCUGGCCAAUGCA
rnacentral:tRNA from 1 species